rnacentral:rRNA from 1 species
UACGGAGGGUGCAAGCGUUACUCGGAAUCACUGGGCGUAAAGGGCGCGUAGGCUUUUUAUUAAGUCUCGAGUGAAAGCCUACAGCUUAACUGUAGAACUGCUCGGGAAACUGAUAGAAUAGAGUAUGGAAGAGGUAGGUGGAAUUUCCAGUGUAGGGGUAAAAUCCGUAGAUAUUGGAAGGAAUACCAGAAGCGAAGGCGACCUACUGGGACAUUACUGACGCUGAGGCGCGAAAGCGUGGGGAGCAAACAGG